rnacentral:rRNA from 1 species
UGCUACGGCCAUGCCACCCUGAACAAGCCAGAUCCCAUCUGAUCUUGAAAGCUAAGCAGGGUCAGGCCUGGUUAGUACUUCAAUGGGAGACCACCUAGGAAGACAAGGUAGGCAUAAAAA